rnacentral:rRNA from 2 species
CUUGACCUCAAAUCAGGUAGGACUACCCGCUGAACU